AUCACUGAUUUUCAGACAUUUACGCAAAAAUAGGCUCAAUCUAAGAAAAAAAAAAAAAAAAAAAAAGUUGUCUAAAUGGUCAAUCUGUGAGAGUGCAGCUUUAAAAAAUCAGCAGCCUGCUAGUGCUUUACAAUAGUAAAUUUUAAAAGAUCACAAGAAUUUUUUAGAUAUGCAAAUAAGUGUGAUAGCCAGAUGAUAAGGCCAAGAUUGUAGAUGUAGAUUUAAUGUUGUAAUCACUCCUUUCAAAAUCAUUAUAAAAAAUUACCGUAAACAUUAUGCAUAAAAUGUGUUAUGUUUUGGAGAAAUUGUUAGACUAGUGUUGCUGUUUCAGUUAUAAAACUACUGGGUGCUGUAGAAAGGGGACAGGUUGCUUUGGGUAAAAAGGGCACAUUGUAUCUGCUGUGACCAUUUUUAGUAAUACCGGUAAUAUUAUAAGUUUGACAAAAAAUAUAUGAAAUGAUUUAAUUAAAGUUCUUUUAGAUUUCAAAUGCAAUAUUAAUAAAGUUUGAAUAUAUUUAUAAUCAUGUACAUGUAAUAAGCUUUAAAAUUAAAAAAGGGAAAGUUUGAUUAUCUUAAGCUUUCAAUUAUAUGAAGGGCGCACUUGUUGGUCUCCAUGGGAUUAUGCUACCCAAAAAAACAGGGUGCAGCACCCGCGUAUAACUCACAAGCUAAAAUCCUAUAAUAUAGAUUUUUAUUGUUAGAUGUACAGUACUAGAUGUUUUUAUGUCUCCCCCUCUCUGGGGGAGACAUAUUGUUUUUGCCCUGUCCGUCAGUCCGGUAGUCCGUCAGUCCGUCCGUACGUCACACUUCGUUUCCGAUCGAUAACUGGAAAACCGCAUGACCUAGGAUCACCAAACUUGGUAGGGAGGUUGGUCGUGAGGUGUAGAGGAUCCCUAUUGUUUUUGGGGUCAAAGGUCAAGGUCGCGGCGACCCCCAAUAUAAAAAACAUUUCUGCUCAAAAUCUUGAGAACGGUUUGACCUAGGUUCACCAAACUUGGUAGGGAGGUUGGUCAUGAGGUGUAGAAGAUCCCUAUUGUUUUUGGGGUCACUAGGUCAAAGGUCAAGGUCGCGGCGACCCCCAAUGUAAAAAACAUUUCCGCUCAAUAUCUUGAGAAUGGUUUGACCUAGGUUCACCAAACUUGGUAGGGAGGUUGAUCAUGAGGUUUAGAAAACUCCUAUAUUUUGGGGGGUCACAAGGUCAAAGGUUAACGUCGCUGUGACCUCUAAUGUAAAAAAAUAUUUCCGUGCAAUAUCAGGAGAAUGCUUUGAUCUAGGUUCACCAAACUUUGAAGUGAGGUUGGUCAUGAUGUCUAGAUGAUCCCAAUUGUUUUGGGGGUAACAAGGUCAAUAGUCAAGGUCGUGGUGACCUUCCAUGUAAAAAUCAUUUGCGUGUAAUAUCUUUAUGUCUCCCCCAUUCAUGGGGAGACAUAUUGUUUUUGCCCUGUCCGUCAGUCAGUCCAUCAGUCUGUCAGUCAGUCAGUACGUCACACUUCGUUUCCGCCCAAUAACUAUAGAACUCUUAGACCCAGGAACUUCAUACUUGGUAUGCUAGUUGGUCAUGACUAGUAGAUGACCCCUAUUGAAUUUGGGGUCACUAGGUCAAAGAUCAGGGUCAACGUGACCUUGAGGUGAAGAAACGGUUUCCACUCAAUAACUAAAGAUCCUUUGGGUCCAGGAACUUCAUAUUUGGUAUGCUAGUUGUUCAUGACUAUUAGAUGACUCCUAUUGAUUUUGAGAUCAAAAGGUCAAAGGUCAAGGUUACCUUCAGGUAAAAAAUGUUAUGUUGGCAGUGACCUUAAGCUUAAAAAUGGUUUCUGCUCAAUAACUAAAGAAAGCUUGUACCCAGGAACUUCAUAGUUGUUCAUGACUAGUAGAUGACUCCUAUUGAUUUUGAGAUCAGUAGGUCAAUGGUCAAGGUCACCGUGACCUUGAGGUGAAGAAACUGUUUCCGCUCAAUAACUAGAGAACGCUUGCAACCAGGAAUUUCAUACUUGGUAUGCUAGUUGGUCAUGACUAGAAGAUGACCUAUAUUGAUUUUGAGAUCACUAGGUCAAAGGUCAAGGUUGCCAUGACCUUGAAGUGAAGAAAAAGUUUCCGCGUAAUAACUAAAGAUCCUUUGGUUUCAGGAACUUCAUACUUGGUAAGCUAGUUGUUCAUGACUAGAAGAUGACCCCUAUUGAUUUUCAGAUCAAAAGGUCAAAGGUCAAGGUUACCUUCAGGUAAAAAAUGAUACGUUGGCGGUGACCUUAAGCUUAAAAAUGGUUUCUGCUCAAUAACUUAAGAACGCUUGUACCCAGGAACUUCAUUCUUGGUACGCUAGUCGGUCAUGACUAGUAGAUGACCCCUAAAGAUUUUGAGAUCAGUAGGUCAAAGGUCAAGGUUGCCAUGACCUUGAGUUGAAGAAAUGGUUACCGCUCAGUAACUAAAGAACACUUGCACCCAAGAACUUAAUACUUGGUAUGCAAGUUGGUUAUGUAGAUGAUCCCUAUUGAUGUUGUGAUCAGUAGGUAAAAGGUCAUGGUCACGAUGACUGUGAGCUGAAAAAUGGUUUCCGAUCAAUAAUUGAAUAACGCUUGCGCCCAGGAACUUCAUACAAUGCAAACUUCGUUUACAUUUCCAUGAUUAAUCAACAACACUUUCUUCUCUUCACUAUUUAAUAUAAUCGAAUAAACCAAACUUCACUGUUGGUUUGUCUCCAGUCCAAAGUUACAAAUUUCAUGUCCAUCAUUUAUUUUUUCUCAGCUACGACCACACAAUAGGGGAGACAAGCGCUUUUUCAAAAAAGCAAUCUCUAGUUUUAUAUAUAUUUUAUAUAUAAAGUAUAAACUUAAAGUUUAUGCACACAAUAUAUAUAUUUGUCCAGAAAAACUCGACAUUUGAAACAAUGAGUUAAUCGAAAAAUAAUUUAAAUGUUUCUCUUAUUUUAGCUCGUUUCUCUGUGAAAAUAACUGUGAAAGCACAUUGUACAUUGUACUUGGUGGAAAAAUCUAUGACUAUAUUGCGGUUAAGAAUUCAUUCAGCUAUAAUAUUGGGUGUUUUUUAAAUUAAUAUCAAUAAUUUGUUGUUGUUUUUAAUCAACUAUAAGCAUGAAAUAAAAAAAUAAUUGUUUGUCUAGUGUAAGAUUGCGAUAUAUUUCACCUCAUGAACACAAAAAAUAUAUAUUUCACUCAUGGCAAAGUUCAUGCGGUGAAAUAUAUUGCUUUAAUCUUACACUGAAACAACAAAUAUUUUCUUUGUAAACGGUGCAUUGACUUGCCAUUUCAUAUUUCAAUGCCUUUAAUACUCAUGUGAUAUAUGGUUUGUUUGUGACAUGGAUGCUUGAUAUACUGUAGAGGGCUUGGAUUUUGUGACAGUUUGAUUUUCAUGAAUAUUUCUGGUUUGAAUUUAAGAUUUUUGCUUAUCAAAAUAUGUUAUACAUGAGAGGUAAUUCAAUACAGACUUUAUUGAACAUUUUUUUUAAAUUGAUAGAAAAAAGCCUUUACAAAUUUUGUAUUGAAUAAUCACAAAUUUGAUAUUACUGAAGGAAUGAAUUGCCGGAUUGAUGUCAUUAUCGGGGAUAUGAACUCAGUGUGGCUAGUUCAAGUAUGAGUGGAAUGUUUAAAGCAUCUAAUAUCUUUUGAUAGAAAUCAGCCCAGUAUAUUUCCUAGGUGACAUUCUCAAAAUCUGUCAAAAUCCUGCCUUUCAGGAAUCACCUUCUGUCUUAAGUCCCCUAAAUGUCUGUGGCCCCUGGUCGGACCAAUCUAUGAUAGGUGCCUUCUCAACACUGCACAGGGAUGUCAUCCUUCGAAAGUAUAAAUUUGUCAUAUGUUCAUAUUUAGAUAUGAUGAGGAUUAAUCUGUGGAAGUUACUGGACCAAUCAAUAAAUAACAUAACAUGCCAAGAUAUUGUUAGUAUCAUGUAAAAAAUCUUCAUCAUUAAAUUGUCUAUAAGAAUGAUGUUCACCAUGUUGUAUUUUUAUUUUAUUCAUAAACAUGUACACAAAUUUGUUUGAACACCUGCACAAGAUUUGGAUAUAGUAAAAUAAACACACCUGAUUUCUCUUUAUGAAAGUACAAUAUUAACAGAAUAUUAGAUUGAUGGUAUUGACAUGUAUUGUAUGAUAAUAGUUCAUGUUUUAUAGGGAUCUAAUAACUGUAGCUAAUAAUUAUAUAUGUGGGCUGAAUUGUAACAGUAGUGUCCAUUAACUACCGUGAGUGGUCAACAUUAUAUUUUGUCCAAUGAGAAGACAGUAAACAUCAAAUUUGCAAAAUCAGCAGUCAGCCUUUAUUAAUUGUAAUCAGGUCGAGCGGUAGAUAUAAACUGUGUUAAUUCAAUUCAAUUCAAUUCAAUUGAGUGGGUAGUUUACACAAUGUUAUGUAGACCACUAAAAAUUAAAGGUUGCUAAUAUGGACUAAUACAAAAUAAAUGGUUGUGCGACUGUGUGGCAUCAACUCUUUAUUUUUGUAAUUACCCACUAACAACCUUGAACCAUUAGUUACCUAAUAUGUCAAGUGUCUGAUAUAUGUAAUUAAAUGUACAUGAAAUGUCAUGUUACAGCUUUUUGAAGCCAGUGGUCUUUCAAUUGUCUUUUAGUGGUCUUUCAAAAAAUAUGAGUGCCUUUGAAACAACUUCUGAUUUUUGUAAACAAUAUGUAGGAAGCAAAUCGAAGCCAAGCUCUUGUUGUUUCAUUUCUCAUUUACAAUAUACAGUUCUAAGACUUUGAUUUUAUUCUGUAAAGUGUAAAUCAUGUAUAUAUGCCAUGCACUGGUUGUUAUGAUGCUGUGUAUUUAUUUAUAUGCAAAGUGAAGUGUACUGUUAGUACUUAUUAUUACAUAUGCUUGGUUUAAUUGCAAUGGUUUUAUUGGUCGGGAGGCUGUCACAUGACAUUACAUGUACAUGUAUAUAGACAGUUAUAUAUAUACCCAGGCAAAUAAUGGCAAAUUUAUUGGCAAAUUUUUGUGUGUGAUAUUUUUGUAAACAAAAUCCCAUGGUUUACAGGGACCUGUCACCAUAUAUAAUACUGGGACAAUAUUCCCCUUGUUUUCAAUGGUAAAACUGGAGACUAGAAAUAGAAUUAUCGUCAAUCAUGUCAUUUCGUGAAAGUAACAUUUUUGACGUAAGUAAUGAAAAUUAGUUGUAAGAAUAUGUUUUUAUAGGAAUAUUAUUGCUACAAGCAUAUAAUAAAACACUUUCAGACUGACGAUAUCUGUUUAUACCCUGUUUUAUGAACCACAUCAAGUGAUAAUUACCAGACCUCCUCUCCCUGAACGUCACUUUUUAUUGUCCAUAAAAUGGAAUAUAACACCUGACUAUCAGUCAAUAUGCUAAUUGCUCAGAACUUAAUGAAAGAAAGCAAUGUCAUUUAAACUAUAUCAUUACCUUUAAAAGGGAUGCUAGUUUGUGAUCUGCUCAUAUGUUUAAGUAGAACAUGUACAGCUGGAAAAACCGUCACAAACCUUGCUAAAAACAUUGCAGAUCAUAAGCGUUUUGAUUCAAGUUUCAGAGCUAUAACUAUUUGAAAAUUAAUGCAGACAUUAAUGACAUUGUUAACUUUAAAUGAGUUCUGAACAAUUGGCCCUUUAUCUGUAAAUUAUUAUUGGUUACAUAGAUUUGUAAGCAGAUGUCUUAAUCCUUCUGUUUGAUUAAAAUAAAUCUAACACAAAGUUC